rnacentral:rRNA from 1 species
AGCGGCGGACGGGUGAGUAACGCGUGGGUAACCUGCCUCAUACAGGGGGAUAACAGUUGGAAACGGCUGCUAAUACCGCAUAAGCGCACAGUACCGCAUGGUACGGUGUGAAAAACUCCGGUGGUAUGAGAUGGACCCGCGUCUGAUUAGGUAGUUGGUGAGGUAACGGCCCACCAAGGCGACGAUCGGUAGCCGGACUGAGAGGUUGAACGGCCACAUUGGGACUGAGACACGGCCCAG